rnacentral:rRNA from 1 species
AGACAGAGGGUGCAACCGUUGUUCGGAAUUACUGGGCGUAAAGCGUGUGUAGGCGGUCAUGUAAGUCGGGUGUGAAAGCCCAGGGCUCAACCCUGGAAGUGCACUCGAUACUGCGUGGCUAGAGUACUGGAGAGGUUGGUGGAAUUCUCGGUGUAGAGGUGAAAUUCGUAGAUAUCGAGAGGAACACCGGUGGCGAAGGCGGCCAACUGGACAGAUACUGACGCUGAGACACGAAAGCGUGGGGAGCAAACAGGAUUAGAUACCCUGGUAGUCCACGCCGUAAACGAUGGGUGCUAGGUGUCGCGGGGUUUGACUCCUGCGGUGCCGUAGCUAACGCAUUAAGCACCCCGCCUGGGAAGUACGGCCGCAAGGCUAAA